CUAGGUAGCUCAGCGCGGUAGAGCAGCGAGCGCUAGCGGUCAUGAACGCAAACGCUCAUCCAAUGCAGGUCGCGGGUUCGACUCCCGCCCUAGACCA
rnacentral:tRNA from 1 species